rnacentral:pre_miRNA from 1 species
AUAAAGGCAAACCCUGGGUUUCCGUGUCCAACGUUUGACUGUCCGUCUUAUAUGAAAUUUUUUUAUAAUUAGUAUUUUUAUUGUUGUUAGAUGAUAAAACAUGAUUAAUACUUUAUGCGUGACUUGUCUUUUUAAUUUUUUUUAUUUUUUUUCAAAUAAGACGGACGGUCAAACGUUGGACACGAAAACCUAGGAUUUGUCUUUUU